rnacentral:rRNA from 1 species
UGCAUCUAGAUUAGAGUUUGAUCCUGGCUCAGAACGAACGCUGGCGGCGUGGAUAAGACAUGCAAGUCGAGCGAGAUUUUUUCUUGUAGCAAUACAGGGAAACGUCUAGCGGCGAACGGGCGCUUAACACGUGGGCAAUCUGCCGAGAAGUGGGGGAUAGCUCGCCGAAAGGCGAAUUAAUACCGCAUGUGAUCAGAAUGGACAUCCAUUCAAAAUCAAAGUCGGGGCAACCUGACGCUUCUUGAGGAGCCCGCGGCCUAUCAGCUAGUUGGUGAGGUAACGGCCCACCAAGGCUUUGACGGGUAGCUGGUCUGAGAGGACGACCAGCCACACUGGGACUGAGACACGGCCCAGACACCUACGGGUGGCAGCAGUCGAGAAUUUUUCUCAAUGGGGGAAACCCUGAAGGAGCGACGCCGCGUGGAGGAUGAAGGUCUUCGGGUUGUAAACUCCUGUCAUUUGGGAACAAUGCGUAAAUAUUAACUGUAUUUGCGUUGAUAGUACCAGAAGAGGAAGAGACGGCUAACUCUGUGCCAGCAGCCGCGGUAAUACAGAGGUCUCAAGCGUUGUUCGGAUUCAUUGGGCGUAAAGGGUGCGUAGGCGGCGCGGUAAGUCGGGUGUGAAAUCUCGGGGCUUAACUCCGAAACUGCAUUCGAUACUACCGUGCUUGAGGACUGGAGAGGAGACUGGAAUUUACGGUGUAGCGGUGAAAUGCGUAGAUAUCGUAAGGAAGACCAGUGGCGAAUGCGGGUCUCUGGACAGUUCCUGACGCUGAGCACGAAAGCCAGGGGAGCAAACGGGAUUAGAUACCCCGGUAGUCCUGCAGUAAACGGUGCACGUUUGGUGUGGGAGGAUUCGACCCCUUCUGCGCCGGAGCUAACGCGUUAAACGUGCCGCCUGGGGAGUACGGUCGC